AGUCGAGGGGUAUAGUAGCAUACUAGAGACCGGCGCACGGGUGCGUAACGCGUAUGCAACCUACCUUUUACAGGGGGAUAGCCCAGAGAAAUUUGGAUUAAUACCCCAUGGUGUAUUUGAGUGGCAUCACUUAAUUACUAAAGUUCCAACGGUAAAAGAUGGGCAUGCGUCCUAUUAGCUAGAUGGUAAGGUAACGGCUUACCAUGGCUACGAUAGGUAGGGGUCCUGAGAGGGAGAUCCCCCACACUGGUACUGAGACACGGACCAGACUCCUACGGGAGGCAGCAGUGAGGAAUAUUGGACAAUGGGCGCAAGCCUGAUCCAGCCAUGCCGCGUGCAGGAAGAAGCAUCUAUGGUGUGUAAACUGCUUUUGUACAGGAAGAAACACUCCCUCGUGAGGGAGCUUGACGGUACUGUAAGAAUAAGGAUCGGCUAACUCCGUGCCAGCAGCCGCGGUAAUACGGAGGAUCCAAGCGUUAUCCGGAAUCAUUGGGUUUAAAGGGUCCGUAGGCGGUUUGGUAAGUCAGUGGUGAAAGCCCAUCGCUCAACGGUGGAACGGCCAUUGAUACUGCCAGACUUGAAUUACUAGGAAGUAACUAGAAUAUGUAGUGUAGCGGUGAAAUGCUUAGAGAUUACAUAGAAUACCAAUUGCGAAGGCAGGUUACUACUAGUGGAUUGACGCUGAUGGACGAAAGCGUGGGGAGCGAACAGGAUUAGAUACCCUGGUAGUCCACGCCGUAAACGAUGGAUACUAGCUGUUCGGAGCAAUCUGAGUGGCUAAGCGAAAGUGAUAAGUAUCCCACCUGGGGAGUACGUUCGCAAGAAUGAAA
rnacentral:rRNA from 1 species